rnacentral:rRNA from 1 species
CAUAGCGGAGGAAAAGAAACCAACAGGGAUUGCCUCAGUAACGGCGAGUGAAGCGGCAACAGCUCAAAUUUGAAAUCUGGCUCUUUCAGGGUCCGAGUUGUAAUUUGUAGAGGAUGCUUCGGGUGUGGCUCCGGUCUAAGUUCCUUGGAACAGGACGUCAUAGAGGGUGAGAAUCCCGUAUGUGACUGGUUGCCUAUGCUCAUGUGAAGCUCCUUCGACGAGUCGAGUUGUUUGGGAAUGCAGCUCAAAAUGGGUGGUAAAUUUCAUCUAAAGCUAAAUAUUGGCCAGAGACCGAUAGCGCACAAGUAGAGUGAUCGAAAGAUGAAAAGCACUUUGGAAAGAGAGUUAAACAGUACGUGAAAUUGUUGAAAGGGAAGCGCUUGCAACCAGACUUGCACGUAGUUAAUCAACCGGUGUUCUCACUGGUGCACUUGAUUACGUUCAGGCCAGCAUCGGUUUCGGUGGUUGGAUAAAGGCCGGGGGAAUGUGGCUUCUUUCGGGGAGUGUUAUAGCCCUCGGUGCAAUGCAGCCUACCGGGACCGAGGACCGCGCUUCGGCUAGGAUGCUGGCGUAAUGGUUGUAAGCGACCCGUCUUGAAACACGGACCAAGGAGUCUAACAUCUAUGCGAGUGUUUGGGUGUUAAACCCAUACGCGUAAUGAAAGUGAACGGAGGUGAGAACCCUUAAGGGUGCAUCAUCGACCGAUCCUGAUGUCUUCGGAUGGAUUUGAGUAAGAGCAUAGCUGUUGGGACCCGAAAGAUGGUGAACUAUGCCUGAAUAGGGUGAAGCCAGAGGAAACUCUGGUGGAGGCUCGCAGCGGUUCUGACGUGCAAAUCGAUCGUCAAAUUUGGGUAUAGGGGCGAAAGACUAAUCGAACCAUCUAGUAGCUGGUUCU